GGAGCCGGCCGGGCGGCCGCGGCGCCGAGAGGCGUCGAGGAAAGUCCGGACUCCGCAGGGCAGGAUGCUGGGUAACACCCAGGCGGGGCGACCCGCGGAAAGUGCCACAGAGAACAGACCGCCGAUGGCCCCUCGGGGCACAGGUAAGGGUGAAACGGUGAGGUAAGAGCUCACCAGCGCGACGGGCAACCGUGGCGGCUCGGCAAACCCCAUCCGGAGCAAGGCCAAGCAGGGAACCUCCGGCCGCGGCGAUCGCACGGCCGGGACGAGCGGCCCGCUCGAUGUUCCCGGGUCGGCCGCAUGGGCCUUCGGGCCCUGAGGGUCGCGGGAACGCGGCCCCCAGAGAGAUGGUCGCCCCCCGCUUCGGCGGGGACAGAAUCCGGCUUACAGGCCGGCUCCUCAC
rnacentral:RNase_P_RNA from 1 species